rfam:Triticum aestivum genome assembly, contig: Triticum_aestivum_CS42_TGACv1_scaffold_031305_1BL
AUGGUACUCCCUCCGUUCCACAAUACAUAUGCCUUCCAUUUGUCAAAAUAUAGAUGUAUCUAGACAUGUUUUAGUAUAUAAGUACAUCCAUUUUUGGACAAAUGGAAGUCAAGUAUUUUGGAACGGAGGGAGUACUAG